AUUGAACGCUGGCGGCAUGCCUUACACAUGCAAGUCGAACGGCAGCACGGGUGCUUGCACCUGGUGGCGAGUGGCGAACGGGUGAGUAAUACAUCGGAACAUGUCCUGUAGUGGGGGAUAGCCCGGCGAAAGCCGGAUUAAUACCGCAUACGAACCACGGAUGCAAGCGGGGGACCUUCGGGUCUCGCGCUAUAGGGUUGGCCGAUGGCUGAUUAGCUAGUUGGUGGGGUAAAGGCCUACCAAGGCGACGAUCAGUAGCUGGUCUGAGAGGACGACCAGCCACACUGGGACUGAGACACGGCCCAGACUCCUACGGGAGGCAGCAGUGGGGAAUUUUGGACAAUGGGCGAAAGCCUGAUCCAGCAAUGCCGCGUGUGUGAAGAAGGCCUUCGGGUUGUAAAGCACUUUUGUCCGGAAAGAAAUCCUUGACUCUAAUACAGUCGGGGGAUGACGGUACCGGAAGAAUAAGCACCGGCUAACUACGUG
rnacentral:rRNA from 1 species